GAUGAGUUCUCCCUGAGACUUUAAGUCUCCUGAAGGAACGUUGAAGACGACGACGUUGAUAGGCCGGGUGUGUAAGCGCAGCGAUGCGUUGAGCUAACCGGUACUAAUGAACCGUGAGGCUUAACCUUACAACGCCGAAGGUGUUU
rnacentral:rRNA from 1 species